AUGCGCACACGAGGCCCAGGUGUCCUCAGAGCCCCCGGCGGCCCGAGGCGCGCAGUCCCGCCGCCGCUGCGGGCGUCGGGCCGAAGACCGAGCUGCGGCAGGACCGAGCGGCGGCAGGACCGAGCGACGGCAGGCGGCAGCUCCCGGAGAGGCCCCGCUGCGUUUCCAAAGCCUCAGGCAAAAUGCCCUCCACGGGCUUUGCGAAGCCCACCUAGGAGGCGGGGCCUUUCCUUCCCGGAGGCCGCCCGGUCCGGAGCUCGCGUCCGGCUGAGACUGAGCCCCAACCCGGUCCCACGCGCCGACCCCCGCCCCUCAGCCCCCACUCUCCUCAGAAGCCCAACUCAGGAAAAGUGGAGAAACUCCGCUUUCCAGGGCGCCCAGCGACCGGGACCCCAGCGGCGCCGGCGGGCUCAGGGGCCCUCCCCCGGGCGGAGCCGCCUGGCCGCCGGGUGUGUAGGCGGCGCUGGAGACGCGCUGAGCGGCCUCGGAAAACCAUGCGUCGGUCUUGUGGAGGAAGAAGGCGGGUCACGAGACAGCACGUGUGACACGGUCUUGUCUGCGAGGACACACGGACACUGUGCACAGAAACCCGGAGGGUUCGAAGCCACCAGAAGUAUGCAACACCAGACUCUGUUUUGGGAUGACUGGAUUAUAGGAAAAUAAUCACAGCCACCAGUGGGAAGAGAGUCAGUGGAUGGAUCCUGGGCAUGACCUUGCUCCUUAGUGACCCCAUGACCGUCCCCCUGGAGUUUCUAUCUUGGGCAGCCCGGGUGGCACAGCGGUUUGGCACCGCCUUCAGGUGUGAUCCUGGGGACCUGGGAUUGAGUCCCACAUCAGGCUCCCUGUGUGGAGCCUUCUUCUCCCUCUGCCUGUGUGUGUGUCUCUCUCUCUCUCUCUCUCUGUCAUGAAUAAAUAAAUAAAAAAUCUUAAAAAAAAAGUUUCU
rnacentral:lncRNA from 12 species